rnacentral:rRNA from 1 species
GCGCUACACUGAUGCAUUCAACGAGCCUAGCCUUGGCCGAGAGGCCCGGGUAAUCUUUGAAACUGCAUCGUGAUGGGGAUAGAUUAUUGCAAUUAUUAAUCUUCAACGAGGAAUGCCUAGUAAGCGCAAGUCAUCAGCUUGCGUUGAUUACGUCCCUGCCCUUUGUACACACCGCCCGUCGCUCCUACCGAUUGGGUGUGCUGGUGAAGUGUUCGGAUUGGCGACCGGGGGCGGUCUCCGCUCUCGGCCGCCGAGAAGUUCAUUAAACCCUCCCACCUAGAGGAAGGAGAAGUCGUAACAAGGUUUCCGUAGGUGAACCUGCGGAAGGAUCAUUGAAUCGAUCGAAUCCACACCGGUAACCAAACGUCGCCCCCCUGUGGUGCAUUCUCCGGAUCUCCGGCGUUUCACCCUGGGCGUCGGCCCCUGGGCUGGGGCUCUCACGAGCCGCUUUUCAGGUCCGACGGGCGCCUCCCUUGGGCUCACCCCCUGGGGCUGGCGUCGGCCAAAACCCCUGUAUCCAACCUUUUUUUAACACACCCCAAACCACAACCAACUCUGAAGCAUCUUUGGUGGCCCGGCCUCGUGCCGUCCACUCCAAACCAAAGACAACUCUCAACAACGGAUAUCUUGGCUCCCGUAUCGAUGAAGAACGCAGCGAAAUGCGAUACGUAGUGUGAAUUGCAGAAUUCCGUGAACCAUCGAAUCUUUGAACGCAAAUUGCGCCCGAGGCUUCGGCCGAGGGCAUGUCUGCCUCAGCGUCGGUUUACACCCUCGCCCUCCCCCACCCUGUGUGGUGGGGUGUUGGUGCGGAUCUGGCCCUCCCGGCUCCGCUCUGUUGAGCGCCCCGGGUUGGCUGAAGCCCAGAGGCUUGAGCAUGGACCCCGUUUGUAGGGCAAUGGCUUGGUAGGUAGGCACCCCCUACGCAGCCUGCCGUUGCCCGAGGGGACUUUGCUGGAGGCCCAGCAGGAAUCCAGCUGUUUCGGCAGCCGGACUACUCACUCAUUCGACCUGAGCUCAGGCAAGAUUACCCGCUGAACUUAAGCAUAUCAAUAAGCGGAGGAAAAGAAACUAACCAGGAUGCCCUUAGUAACGGCGAGCGAACCGGGCAAAGCCCAACUUGAAAAUCUCCAGCCUCCGGCUGGCGAAUUGUAGUCUAGAGAAGUGCUCUCUGCCUCAGUCCGGCCCCAAGUCCCCUGGAAAGGGGCGUCAGAGAGGGUGAGAACCCCGUUGGGACCGGUGCCUGAGGCUCCACGAGACGCUUUCGAAGAGUCGGGUUGUUUGGGAAUGCAGCCCAAAGCAGGUGGUAAAUCC